GACGAACGCUGGCGGCGUGCUUAACACAUGCAAGUCGAACGGUAAGGCCCUUCGGGGUACACGAGUGGCGAACGGGUGAGUAACACGUGGGUGAUCUGCCCUGCACUUCGGGAUAAGCCUGGGAAACUGGGUCUAAUACCGGAUAGGACCACUGCCUGCAUGGGUGGUGGUGGAAAGCUUUUGCGGUGUGGGAGGGGCCCGCGGCCUAUCAGCUUGUUGGUGGGGUGAUGGCCUACCAAGGCGACGAGGGGUAGCCAGCCUGAGAGGGUGACCGGCCACACUGGGACUGAGAUGCGGCCCAGACUCCUACGGGAGGCAGCAGUGGGGAAUAUUGCACAAUGGGCGCAAGCCUGAUGCAGCGACGCCGCGUGAGGGAUGACGGCCUUCGGGUUGUAAACCUCUUUCAGCACCGACGAAGCGCAAGUGACGGUAGGUGCAGAAGAAGGACCGGCCAACUACGUGCCAGCAGCCGCCGUAA
rnacentral:rRNA from 1 species